AACACGCAUAGGAAAAAAAGAACGACAGAAAGAACGGCUCCCCUCCAGCCGCGACUCGGCUCCCAUCGUUCAUGUUUAUGAGCCGUUCAAAAGAAUCGGUUCGUUCGCGAACGUCACAACUCUAAUUCGGGUGAGAGAUUGAAACUGAAGCAUCGAUCUCAUUAAACUGGUAUCGAUCAAUAUCAAUACCAACAUUAUUAUCGAUACUUGGAUCGAUCCGCCCACCACUACUGUGAAUCAUUUUUGCAGAAUCAGAAAGAAGCAAGAGGUUAGUCCAGCUAAUAGGGAAGUACCGUUGAACUAUUAUUGAUGCUUCUUCUUUCAUUCUGUAUAUUUUUUUUAUUAACUAUUACAACGGAAAAGUAAGGUAGCAGAAAGAACUGUACUCGGCCCUUUCACUUUCUAUGCAAGAACCCAUUCAGAAAACAUUUCUCUUUUCGCCCCUUCUGCGUUGUACAUUAUAAAUCACCUUUUCUUUGAUGCUGGUGGCUCGACCUAUAUUGUUUUGUUGUCCUUCUCGCCCGUCACUCCCCCCAUUUCACAAAACCGACAAAAUGAAGUUUUUUUUUUUAACUAAUGUUACAUCUAGCUAGCUAUUUAAGUCACGAUAGGGUCGUGGAUGCGCGCGGCAGACCGAUAGCCCACGCAGUUGUUAGGUAACAAUUAAGGAUUGGAUGUAUAAGCAUAACCAGGAAGAAGAAAGAAUAGUGACAGUGAUCCUUGAACUGUGGAGAGCAGACUUGGAUCAGCUGACAGAAAUCCUGAAGGUUACAGGCACCCCAACUAAAGAAUUUAUCAUGAAACUGCAGAGCCAAGAUGUCAGUCAUAAACAUGAAUGUAAAGCUUUUCACUGUGCUUUGUCCUUGAUGCUUACAACCCAAAAUGGCGUUAAAAAUACAGUUCUGUUCUGUUAAAUAGGUGAAUAAUACACCUGUUUUUAAGGUGACUCCAUGUAUGUUUUUAUGUAGCAUGGCAAAGGAAGACAGCUGUUUGGAAGAAUUUACCAUAACUGACAGUACUGUAUUUCCAUUACAUUUGUGAGUUAACAAGGUAGACAAAUUUUACAUUUCUAUAGUUCGAUUUGUUAUUUUGAGUGUGCUCUGGCUGUAGUUAAUGGUAAAAAGAGAACGUUAUGUAAAGUUGUAAGACUUUGACCUGCUUAUCUUGCAAACAAAGUUAAGUUUCUUAAAA